rnacentral:rRNA from 5 species
AAAAAUGACUCUCGGCAACGGAUAUCUCGGCUCUUGCAUCGAUGAAGAACGUAGCGAAAUGCGAUACUUGGUGUGAAUUGCAGAAUCCCGUGAACCAUCGAGUCUUUGAACGCAAGUUGCGCCCAAAGCCAUUUGGUUGAGGGCACGCUUGCCUGGGUGUCGUG